GCAAUUGAGUUAAACCGAGGCCUUUACAACGGCGUCAGAUGUCGUCUCAGUUACGUUGAUGACAUUCGAGCUAUCCAUUCCCAGAUAGUUGUGGAAAAUGAUCCCGAUGAAGAGGCUCGCAAGGAGGCUCUGGAGAGGGAUGUGUUCGUCAUCCAGGUACUCUCCAUUGCACUAGACGAGAAACAUCAGCCAAAUAGCGCGGCCAACUUUGUUAGGAAGCUCGAUUUAAUGUGCGAAACAAUGUGGUUCCGUGAGGGAGAUCGCGCAGGUCUUCUAGACUAUGCUUGCGCAUUCCUAAAGCGAGACGCUCUCGAUCUACCUGGCAUUGAUGUCCCAUGAUACUAUCGUCACACAAUAUGUGUAUAUUUAUAUAUAUAUAUAUUCAUAAUGUGAUGGUAGCGUUUGGGGUCAGCGGAUUAGGGUGGGUAUGCUGCGACGGAUUGCGAUUUUAUCAGCCGAAAGUUCUCGUAAACCUCUAAAAAGCGAUGUUUAAAAAUCUCUGGAGAGCACGCUCGAAUCACAAGGACUUCUCCACAUGAGGAGAAAGAUUUAGUUCAAAGGAUGGGGCAUGAAUGGGG
rnacentral:sRNA from 2 species